rnacentral:rRNA from 1 species
UGUAUAAUGGGUCAGCGACUUAUAUUCUGUAGCAAGGUUAACCGAAUAGGGGAGCCGAAGGGAAACCGAGUCUUAACUGGGCGUUAAGUUGCAGGGUAUAGACCCGAAACCCGGUGAUCUAGCCAUGGGCAGGUUGAAGGUUGGGUAACACUAACUGGAGGACCGAACCGACUAAUGUUGAAAAAUUAGCGGAUGACUUGUGGCUGGGGGUGAAAGGCCAAUCAAACCGGGAGAUAGCUGGUUCUCCCCGAAAGCUAUUUAGGUAGCGCCUCGUGAAUUCAUCUCCGGGGGUAGAGCACUGUUUCGGCAAGGGGGUCAUCCCGACUUACCAACCCGAUGCAAACUGCGAAUACCGGAGAAUGUUAUCACGGGAGACACACGGCGGGUGCUAACGUCCGUCGUGAAGAGGGAAACAACCCAGACCGCCAGCUAAGGUCCCAAAGUCAUGGUUAAGUGGGAAACGAUGUGGGAAGGCCCAGACAGCCAGGAUGUUGGCUUAGAAGCAGCCAUCAUUUAAAGAAAGCGUAAUAGCUCACUGGUCGAGUCGGCCUGCGCGGAAGAUGUAACGGGGCUAAACCAUGCACCGAAGCUGCGGCAGCGACGCUUAUGCGUUGUUGGGUAGGGGAGCGUUCUGUAAGCCUGUGAAGGUGUACUGUGAGGUAUGCUGGAGGUAUCAGAAGUGCGAAUGCUGACAUAAGUAACGAUAAAGCGGGUGAAAAGCCCGCUCGCCGGAAGACCAAGGGUUCCUGUCCAACGUUAAUCGGGGCAGGGUGAGUCGACCCCUAAGGCGAGGCCGAAAGGCGUAGUCGAUGGGAAACAGGUUAAUAUUCCUGUACUUGGUGUUACUGCGAAGGGGGGACGGAGAAGGCUAUGUUGGCCGGGCGACGGUUGUCCCGGUUUAAGCGUGUAGGCUGGUUUUCCAGGCAAAUCCGGAAAAUCAAGGCUGAGGCGUGAUGACGAGGCACUACGGUGCUGAAGCAACAAAUGCCCUGCUUCCAGGAAAAGCCUCUAAGCAUCAGGUAACAUCAAAUCGUACCCCAAACCGACACAGGUGGUCAGGUAGAGAAUACCAAGGCGCUUGAGAGAACUCGGGUGAAGGAACUAGGCAAAAUGGUGCCGUAACUUCGGGAGAAGGCACGCUGAUAUGUAGGUGAAGCGACUUGCUCGUGGAGCUGAAAUCAGUCGAAGAUACCAGCUGGCUGCAACUGUUUAUUAAAAACACAGCACUGUGCAAACACGAAAGUGGACGUAUACGGUGUGACGCCUGCCCGGUGCCGGAAGGUUAAUUGAUGGGGUUAGCGGUAACGCGAAGCUCUUGAUCGAAGCCCCGGUAAACGGCGGCCGUAACUAUAACGGUCCUAAGGUAGCGAAAUUCCUUGUCGGGUAAGUUCCGACCUGCACGAAUGGCGUAAUGAUGGCCAGGCUGUCUCCACCCGAGACUCAGUGAAAUUGAACUCGCUGUGAAGAUGCAGUGUACCCGCGGCAAGACGGAAAGACCCCGUGAACCUUUACUAUAGCUUGACACUGAACAUUGAGCCUUGAUGUGUAGGAUAGGUGGGAGGCUUUGAAGUGUGGACGCCAGUCUGCAUGGAGCCGGCCUUGAAAUACCACCCUUUAAUGUUUGAUGUUCUAACGUUGGCCCCUGAUCGGGGUUGCGGACAGUGUCUGGUGGGUAGUUUGACUGGGGCGGUCUCCUCCUAAAGAGUAACGGAGGAGCACGAAGGUUGGCUAAUCCUGGUCGGACAUCAGGAGGUUAGUGCAAUGGCAUAAGCCAGCUUGACUGCGAGCGUGACGGCGCGAGCAGGUGCGAAAGCAGGUCAUAGUGAUCCGGUGGUUCUGAAUGGAAGGGCCAUCGCUCAACGGAUAAAAGGUACUCCGGGGAUAACAGGCUGAUACCGCCCAAGAGUUCAUAUCGACGGCGGUGUUUGGCACCUCGAUGUCGGCUCAUCACAUCCUGGGGCUGAAGUAGGUCCCAAGGGUAUGGCUGUUCGCCAUUUAAAGUGGUACGCGAGCUGGGUUUAGAACGUCGUGAGACAGUUCGGUCCCUAUCUGCCGUGGGCGCUGGAGAACUGAGGGGGGCUGCUCCUAGUACGAGAGGACCGGAGUGGACGCAUCACUGGUGUUCGGGUUGUCAUGCCAAUGGCACUGCCCGGUAGCUAAAUGCGGAAGAGAUAAGUGCUGAAAGCAUCUAAGCACGAAACUUGCCCCGAGAUGAGUUCUCCCUGAGACUUUAAGUCUCCUGAAGGAAC